CCCACCCUCCUUGUCAGGUAAGAUCAGAAUGAGAAGGCAGCUGUCUGUAAGCCAGCAAGAGAGCUCUCUCCAGGAGUUGAAUUGGCCACCACCUUGACAUUGGAUUUCACAGCCUCCAGAACUGGCAUCCUUAGUCCACAUCAACCAAGGUGGUAUAAAAACAGCACUGCACUUGGUUUGCAUUCUGUGCCCUGAAGCAGAAAUGCCUUUAAUUGUUCAUUGUGAAAUAAACAGAUGUCUACUGGAGAAGAUUAUUAAAAACAUUUUGUGCACUUUGGGAGAACUAGAGGUCAGGACUGCUUGACCUAGCAUCUCAAAGGAAACCCAAGCCAACCCAGCUACCAAGGUGAACAAGGAAGAUGGUGGUCCUAUGAGCAACAGCAGCCAGUGGCCUGGCACUGCACCCUGCGAGGCAGCCAAGACCAAGCUUUGGCGUUCCCUCUUCUGUGUUUCAAUCCACAUGUAAAGGGCUGCCUCCCUGGCGCCCUUGGGAGAUGCUCCAGUGGUCCUGGCAUGAGGAGGAGAAGCAAAUGGGCAACGUGUAGCAAUCCGUGGUUUUGUGUUUGGUCUGUAGAGCCCUGAUCUGGUCUAGAGAACCACCCCGCUUCAGGGGGAGACCGUGAGUGUCACUAAUCAUAUUGUGUACUCGCCCCCGUCUCCGCUGUACUAGACCCUAUUCGGAUCCUCAGGGAAGCUUCUUGCUCCCUUUGCUCACGCCUGUCCGAGGCUUGAGAAUACUAAUAAAA